GGGGCUAUAGCUCAGUGGCAGAGCACUUGCCUGGUAUGUGUGAGGCACUGGGUUCAAUCCUUAGCACCA
rnacentral:tRNA from 1 species